rnacentral:lncRNA from 1 species
AUAUGCCAGAGUGUCUCCUUUCAGUAUUCUUUCCUUCAAGAGCUGCAAUGCCUUAUCCACCAAAUUAGCAUGGGUGUAAUCUGAUUUUAAAAAGGUAAGGAAUGCCAUCAACCACACAAUAUGAAUUUUCUCUCUUGAAGUAAUGAAUCAUAUAAAAUCCAUCUAACACUGUUGACAUUCUUGCUUUCUAGUGUUCAUUCCUACAACUGGCCUCCUUAGCUCAAGGAAGAAAUAUUACCUGAAAAAACGGCAUGGUCACAGGCCCUAACACUGUGCCUUGUGUAAUAAAGCAAUACUGGCCAGGCGCGGUGGCUCACGCCUGUAAAUCUCAGCACUCUGGGAGGCCGAGGCGGGUGGAUCACCUGAGUUUGGGAGUUCAAGACUAGCCUGACCGACAUGGAGAAACCCCGUCUCUACUAAAAAUGCAAAAUUAGCAGGGCGUGGUGGUGCCUGCCUGUAAUCCCAGCUACUCGGGAGACUCAGACAGGAGAAUAGCUUGAACCCAGGAGGCGGAGGCUGCGGUGAGCCAAGAUCGCAUCAUUGCACUCAAGCCUGGGCAACAAGAGCAAAACUCCAUCUCAAAACAACAACAACAACAAACAAUACUUGUUGAUUGGUUUCACACUAACCCUGCUCGUGGCCAAGUAGAGCCCUAACAGUGCAGGGCUGGGUAUAAGUCUAUGCAUUGGUUUGUCUUCAAUGGGCAAAGCUGUCUGAAGAGAAGCAUGUCCUUAAGUCCUGAGAGUAAA